GUGGGGCUGGCUCAGUCAGUAGAGCGUGUGACUGUUGAUCUCAGGGUUGUAAGUUCGAGCCCCACA
rnacentral:tRNA from 1 species